GAUGAAGAACGUAGCGAAAUGCGAUAAGUAAUGUGAAUUGCAGAAUUCAGUGAAUCAUCGAAUCUUUGAACGCACAUUGCGCCCGCCAGUAUUCUGGCGGGCAUGCCUGUUCGAGCGUCAUUUCAACCCUCAAGCCCAGCUUGGUGUUGGGGAUCGGCACAGGCGCCCUCGGGCGCCCGCCGUCCCCUAAAUCUAGUGGCGGUCCCGCUGCAGCCUCCUCUGCGUAGUAGUUUUCUCCUCGCAAGGGCAGCUCGGUGGCGACCUCGCCGUAAAACCCCCAACUUCUGAAAGGUUGACCUCGAAUCAGGUAGGAAUACCCGCUGAACUUAACCAUAUCAAUAAGCGGAGGA
rnacentral:misc_RNA from 1 species